rnacentral:rRNA from 1 species
AAGUCGUAACAAGGUUUCCGUAGGUGAACCUGCGGAAGGAUCAUUAACGUAUCUCAGGCGUGCGACCCUCACCCUGCUCCUGCCGAAAGGCGGUGCAGCGGGUGUGUGGCCGUCGCCUAACCUUCAUAAACCACUGUGAACCUUCACGGCAGAGGCUUGUGGGCGAGAGCCUGCUUGCCAAAACCGUACCUACAAACACUAGUAACAAGAAUGUCUAGCGACUCUGUUCGCCCAUUAAACAUAACAACUUUCAACAACGGAUCUCUUGGCUCUCGCAUCGAUGAAGAACGCAGCGAAAUGCGAUAAGUAAUGUGAAUUGCAGAAUUCAGUGAAUCAUCGAAUCUUUGAACGCACCUUGCGCUCCUUGGUAUUCCGAGGAGCAUGCCUGUUUGAGUGUCUUGAAGUCAUCAACCCCCCAGUUUUUCGAAACAGGGACGGUUGGAUAUGGGAGCUUGCUGCCGACAAGGCUGCUCUCCUCAAAUGUGUCGGUUGGACCUGUGGGUCGGACUCGUUGGGCGUUGUAUCAUCCUCGCUCUGACUGAGAUGUUCCCCUGUUGUGUCCUCCCUCGACUUGCCGUUAGAGUGGCAGUCAACUUUUGAAAUCUGACCUCAAAUCAGGUAGGACUACCCGCUGAACUUAAGCAUAUCAAUAAGCGGAGGAAAAGAAACUAACAAGGAUUCCCCUAGUAACUGCGAGUGAAGCGGGAUGAGCUCAAAUUUGAAAUCUGGCGGCUCCGUCGUCCGAGUUGUAAACUGGAGAAGCGUUUUCCGUGCCGGACCGUGUACAAGUGCCUUGGAACAGGACAUCAUAGAGGGUGAGAAUCCCGUCUUUGACACGGACCCCCGGUGCUCUGCGAUGCGCUCUCGAAGAGUCGAGUUGUUUGGGAAUGCAGCUCAAAAUGGGUGGUAAAUUCCAUCUAAAGCUAAAUAUUGGCGAGAGACCGAUAGCGAACAAGUACCGUGAGGGAAAGAUGAAAAGCACUUUGGAAAGAGAGUAAAACAGUACGUGAAAUUGUUGAAAGGGAAACGCUUGAAGUCAGUCGCGUCUGCCGGAACUCAGCCUUGCUUCUGCUUGGUGCACUUUCCGGUUUGAUGGGCCAGCAUCGGUUUCGGGCGACGGACACUGGCUGGGGGAAGGUGGCGACUCCGGUCGUGUUAUAGCCCCUUGUCGAGAACGUCGCCCGGGACCGAGGAAUCCGGCGCAAGCCUGGGAUGCUGGCGUAAUGGCUUUAAACGACC